rnacentral:rRNA from 1 species
GGCCAAGCUAUGAAGGGCGUAUGGGGGAUGUCUUGGCAUCAGGAGGCGAUGAAGGGCGUGGAAGUCUGCGAAAAGCUCGGGGGAGCUGACAAACAAGUAUCGAUCCCGAGAUCCCUGAAUUAGCGUGUAGUGAAUCCAUAGCUGCACGUGGCCAACGUGGGGAACUGAAACAUCUAAGUACCCACAGGAAAAGAAAGAAAA